rnacentral:lncRNA from 1 species
CAGAAAAGCCCGCCCCUAGCGGCCACCAGAGAGGAGCUGGAAUCCCGGGAGUCCCGGGAAGGACCCUUGAAGGUCCUUGCGCUCCCGGCGCCAGGGGCCCCGCGUACUCACGCUGUCUUCAGCGACAAGAUGAUGAGACGCGCUCGCGCCCGCACCCUGCAUGCAAAUGCUGUCUCCAACGACAAGAUGGUGAGCCGCGCUCGCGCCCCCACCCUUCAUGCAAACCCUGUCUCCGAUGACAAGAUGGUGAGCCGCACUCGCUUCCCCCUCUCCUACUAGUGAUUUGAAGUUAACCGGUGCCUAAUGAUUUGAAGUUACUGACAAUCUUUGAUCUAGUCAUGUGAAUUAGUACUAGUGCUUACUGAAUUACCUGAUGAGUAUGUGCAAGAACUACGUGGUCUGUAUAUUCCCUUGGACUUUCUAAUCGCUGGGUUCUCUUGUGGCAGAUGGACGGGAAAAAUGAGAUGGCGCCGGUCCAGGGGGUGCCGCCCAUGCGGGGAAGCAUCGCGGCUUCAAGCUCGGUUGGUAAGUACUCCAAACUGGUUUUUCUGUCAGUAUCACGGCUGUUUUUUGUCAUCAUUAGUAUAAUGAUAUUGGACUGAAGCUCGUCAACUCUUUCGAUGCUGUAUUUUUGGCAUCAUUAGUAUACUGAUAUUGGACUAAAGUUGGUUAGCUCUUUCCAUGCUGGACUUUUGGCAUCAUUAGUAUACUUAUAUUGGACUGAAGCUUGUUAGCUCUGUCCAUGCUCCGUUUUUUAUCAUCAUUAGUAUAGUGAUAUAUUGGACUGAAGCUGCACAUGUUUUGUUUCCAUUAACGUUGGUCUAGCAGUGCUACGCGUCAGUCGGCCGAUCGUAGCCGCCAUAGAAGCCUUAUUUUAAUCAAGUUCCACCCGUCACUGCAUAUAUUAACGUUGGUUUUGUCACUAGCUGCGUAUACAAACGCGAGCACCGGCACUGUGUGGCAGCAUGGAAGACAUAUGAACUGUGAUACGAAACAUAAGAAACAUGCAAUGGCUAGAAACAUCUCCGUACAAAAAAAAUUGGCAUGUUAUAGGUGUCAACAAAAUUAGUCGGCUUGCCAGCCGUCGGAUCUGACACGUGAAGCAUUGGAUCACACCACGCGGCAGCAGAGAGAGUGGAACCCGUCUUCCUCCAUAGCCUCCACAAAACUUGUUUAUCCCCCACCGCUCCCCCAUCGUUGCAAAAGAUUAUUAUGUUGUUGCCGCGGCCUUCCUCUUCCUCUCGCUCAGCAGCACCUCCCUCUCGUCCUUUCUAACACAGCAAAGAAGAAGGAGGAGGAAGAAGAAGGACGCAAGGACACAAGUGGUUUUGCCGGAGCACGAACUCCGCCCGCCGCACGAACGGCGUCCUUUUCUUUCCCUGAGCCCGAACUCAGUACAAUCCGCAAGCUACAACAGAGGAGAGAGCUGGCCUUAUACCCGCGCGCACGCACGCGCUACGCCACGCUCUGCACGCAUGCACACCCCACGUCCCGCGCUUCCAGACCCACUCACCCGACGCGCACGUACGCAGUCGCCGUAGGCCGAUUCCAGCGCCCCGACGUGGUCGCCACUCCGUUUCUGUUGCCUACACACAACGGCCCACGCGCUCGAACGCGAGGACACACACGCACGCACAGACACACACACACAUGCACGGCCACGGACCCGGCGCGUCCUGGCUCGCACCCGACGCAUCCUGCGGUGGCUUAUGCCCAACACUCACUCCCCUAAGCCACGAACUACAGCAGGUGAGUCCAUCGUCGUCGAUGUCGCCAUGGCCGUCGCACCGCACCGCUGCGGCCUCCGCCGUGCCGUCGACGUCGUUGUAGCCACCGCCGCCCUAACGUCGUUGCCACGCCUGCCACCGUGCCACCGUGCCCUUCGCGUGCACUCCCCACGUCCCCGCGCUCCCGGCCCUCGCUCCCGCCGCGCACGUACGUGGUCUGCGCAACCAGGUCCAGCGCCUCAAUGCGGUCCACUCCCGCGGUCCCGACGCAUCCGGUGCGCACCCAUAACACGCACCGGUCACGCCCGGCUCGCCGCCGCGCUUAUUGCCCUGCACCGCUGCGCCGUCAACCGCAGCGUAGCGCCUCCACGGUCGUCGCGCCGGGCCGCCGCAGCCUCUGCGACACCACGCAGGUCCUCCGCGACCUCCUCGUCUCCGCGACCGCCGCUGCUCGCCACGCGCACGGCAUCACGCCACACCGCCGUGGACUCGCCACGCGUUGCCGACGCCACGCGCUCGCCGCGCGCCCGGCAUCACGACACACCACCGUGGACUCGCCGCGCGUUGCCGAGACCUUCAUGUCCGCCGCGCGCGCCGCGAACGCCGCCGCGCGCUACGGCCGCCCCCCGAACCUGUGGCUCUGAAUACCAAUUGUUGUUGCCGCGGCCUUCCUCUUCCUCUCGCUCAGCAGCACCUCCCUCUCGUCCUUUCUAACACAGCAAAGAAGAAGGAGGAGGAAGAAGAAGGACGCAUGGACACAAGUGGUUUUGCCGGAGCACGAACUCUGCCCGCCGCACGAACGGCGUCCUUUUCUUUCCCUGAGCCCGAACUCAGUACAAUCCGCAAGCUACAACAGAGGAGAGAGCUGGCCUUAUACCCGCGUGCACGCACGCGCUACGCCACGCUCUGCACGCAUGCACACCCCACGUCCCGCGCUUCCAGACCCACUCACCCGACACGCACGUACGCAGUCGCCGUAGGCCGAUUCCAGCGCCCCGACGUGGUCGCCACUCCGUUUCUGUCGCCUACACACAACGGCCCACGCGCUCGAACGCGAGGACACACACACACGCACAGACACACACACAUGCACGGCCACGGACCCGGCGCGUCCUGGCUCGCACCCGAUGCGUCCUGCGGUGGCUUAUGCCCAACAAUUACGUCAGCCCCUCGCAGCACCUCACGUCCAUGCUCUGGCGCAUCCCUGAUGUCGCCUGGUAUCAUGCAAGCACUAUUACAGACGGCGUGCCGGCGAGGAACAUUGUCUUACAACCAAGGUAGUUGCAUUGAUGCGACCACAAGCCUCACCCCCUUGUUGCAUGGGUCGUGGCUUGUGGCACUGGUCGUCGGCUAAAACACCCCCCGUGAGAACCUGCAGUUGCACCACUGCGACAACCCCGUGGGUCUAUGCAUGGUGGAAAUAGAGCGAAUGGAUAUGGUGAAGAGAGAGGAAUACAAGUGAGGGGCAUCUGGCGCUAGAGCGAGCUGACUCAUUUCCUCCUAAACCAGUCUGUUGAAUAUUUCCAUUUUCUUUUGAGAAACCUCAUAAAAACGUUGCAACAUGCGAGCAUGUCUAUACAAAAAAAAGUAGAUAUAGAACACAUACUCAUUAACUGCAAGAAAUCAGUGAAAAACCACAAUGUAUACACGCCUGAACCAAUGGAUCAUUGGCAUGCAUCUUCCAACUCUUCCUAGGUUACGCCCACCCGCGAACCGUUCAAUUCUGUCACAGAUCAUUGCCAAAUCAACCACCAACUUGGUUCCUGCUCUCGUCUCCUCUCCCCAUCCUUUGCAACAUACACCCAUGUUUCUCAGCAAUAGACUCACUUGGAGGCCACAAUGGUGGCCAUGGUAGGCUAGUGAAAAGCACAAUGGUGGUCGGCCUUACAACACUAAACACGACAUUAAUUGCAACACGUGAUAACCCCAAAUUUGUAGCACCGGUGCACCGUUUUGCGGCAAAGUAAAAAAUGCCAAUGACCUGCCAUGCUGCAUCGAUGCCUUGGUCUUGCAGCAUUGUCAACCACCUUGUAGCAAUGAAAAGUUCACUGACCACUAGCUUUGCAGCAUCACGUGACCGGCUUCUAGCACUGAACGCCCGGGCUAGCAGCACUGCGAUCAGUGAUGGUCGGCCUUGCAACAGUAUUGGUUGACAUUGCACACCUCAUCUCCAUUUUUAUGUACAUACACAUGAGUGAACUUGGAACAUCAGUAACGUAUCAACAUUAGCAAUAUUGAUGAUGAUGAAAUUUGUUUCCCCAAGUAUCAACAUUACUGAAUAAGCGAGCAACUGCACAUCCACCCCAUGAGCCAUACUUUUUGAGCCCUACCACAACCGAUUAUAGUUGGAAAAGAGCUGACAACGAUAGUUAAAAAUGUACAUGAUCACAAUAGAUUAAAUGGCAGGGAGGGUGGACUGCAUGUGUGGAAUCAGGCUUGUCGCGUGGUCACAAGUGCCUUAUCUGACUAGCCAACAAGACAGAAGGAGGCCGCCUGGGCUCUCACUCCUGAAGCUAAGCAUAACUCCAACUCCAGACACACUCGGGGGCUACUGAAGGUGCAAUACACUAGGGGUGUCCUCUAAGUGGGAAGCCCGGUAGCAGGCCUAUCUCAAGGCCCAAGAGGCCAAGUGGAGGAUCAGCGCACUAGGGCAGCUCAUGAGCCCGGAUAAGGAUCGGGAGAGCAUCUGGGCGUGCAAGCUAACAUGGCGACGGUAUGAGAUCUAGUGGAUUCCUUGUAAUCCCUAGCCCUCGUCACCUAUAUAAGGCAGGGCAAGGGGUUAUCAUUCACAUAUACUCUCAUAGACUAUACUCUCGGUGGCCUUAUACUUCAUCUCCGUUGUAAAUCCUAUUAUGGGUACUAACAGUUUUACAUAUUGUCGCAUAGUUUUGUUCCGACACAUUUUCUCUAGGAGUUGAAAGCAACUCAUGGUGUAAGUAUCUGUUGCUGGAAGCACUGAUUUUACUAGCACCGCCUUUCCCGCCUUCGAGAUACCUUGUCCUUCCUAUCCAAUCACUUUGCCAUUUGAGUUUUCUCUAACGUAUUUAAAAUUUGCUUCCGUUGACCUACCCACCACGGCUGCGAGCCCCAAAUAAUGCUCGCUCAAUGCCUUGGGAUCAAUGCAAAAAUAUUUUAAAAAAACUUUGUCCUCCUAUUUGCUUCCCUUUCCACAGAAAGUUGAGGCUUUUUGAAGAUUUACCAUUUGUCAUGUGGCCAACUCGUAGUCAAACAGGGUCUAUUUUAAGGUCACAACGUUGAUAUUUGAUGCUUGAAGAAAUACUACACUAUCAUCUGCAAACAUAAAAUGGGCUACAUGGGGGCCAGUGCUCCCAAAAUGUACACCAUUGAUCUCCUUAUCUUUGAGAAUUCAUGAGCAAUGCCAAAAAAUAAACAAAUGGGGGGAUUGUGGGUCUCCUUGUCAGAUCCCUCUUGAUAGUGUAAAAAUGACAGAGCAACCUCCAUUCAAUUUGACAGGCCUGCAUCAUGUCUAGUUUAAUAGCUAACAUUGGAUUUUUCUAUUUGUUGACCUGAUUGCAUGCACACACUCAUACGUGACCAACACAUUGUCUGUGAUAAGCCUACCCGGAAUAAAUAUACUUUGCUCCUCGCAGAUCAUUAUGGACAGGAGAACAUUCAAACCAUUCACUAGGCCUUUGAAGCAAUAUGACUGAGUGUGUUCUAUAAGCUGAUUGAUCCAAUUUGAGGAAGUAUAUCCAGUGAGUUAAUUUUUAGGAUCAAGACUAGAACCAUAUCACUGAAGUUUGCCGAUACAUCAUUUUUUAGCAACGACUAGUGAAAUUGGUAAACAUAGUCAAGAGGCUGUGUGGCCCAAUGCUUUUGUCGGUCUAAUUUAGAAUGGUGCAUUCUCAAUUUCUUCAUCCAUCACAUCCGCGUCCACCCUCAAGAAAACAACCAAGCAUAGAAAUCGGCCGACAUCUUCCCCAUCUCAUUGUCAGUAGUACAUCUCAUGCCAUCCGCGCUCAUGUUUUGUUCGUCUUCCUCGAGCAAUUCCAGUCGAGCAUGUUGCAUAUACAUUAUUUCUUCCCAUGCAUGAGCCAGAUGAAGCUACGCUUCAAUCUCGUGGAUCUCCACCAAGGAUCUGGAUCCCAAUGCUCUCUCCUUUCCAUUGAAGCUGAACUUGUGCCUAGUGAUGUCUAAACAUACGAAACAAAACACUGAGCCACUCCAAUGUUGCAUAUCAUUGGUGACAUUGUUAAGCUUCCUGUAUAACGUACUCUGGCCGAAAUUGUUGUCACAUGCACACUCCCACGCAUCCAUGGGGCAUCCGCCUCUCCUCAAAUGUUAACGCCCUCUUCUUCCUUGUGGUAAUGACCAAUUGGUCUAGCGUUCUAAUAAUGAGUGAAUCAUGGCCUGGUUCUCCGUGAGAACAUGUUCAAUGGAUGUAUCCUAGAAUGAGUGUAUGAAAUCAUCAUUGCAUGGACCCCUUCCCAGAUGUACCUAAAUGUUCUCAUCAUCAUCCCUUUUGUUGUCCCGUGUGUACUGGUAGCUAAUAAAACAGAGGUUUGAAAAGUUGUUAUUGGCUACGCUCUCCCUAAUGCGCUCCAUUUGUGUGAAACUCCUCAAGUAAUCUCCUGGUUGUUGUGAUUGAAAGAAUACUUUGUUGAGGUAUCACUGUCACAGAGAAAUUUAUUAUCAGGAUCUAGUCUCUCGAAACCUCCCUUAGCUACACAAAUUUGCUUCAAUCUCUCUUCCUAUCCAGUAGCUUUAGCUGAUAAUCCUUGUGAUGCCUUUGGUGAUCACCACCACCCUUCCUCGUCUUGUGAACAAAAGUGCCUCGUGUGUGCUGCCUGGAGGUAAAUGGGUCUUCUUUGCCCAGUCGCCUUGCACUCUUUCUUCCCACAUAGAAUUUUUUAUGUCCUCCUUCCUUUCAUGCUCCUUCCUCAGCUUCCACAUCCUUUUCAGUUGCAAAUCAUCCCUUAGUUCAUGUCACCAAUCUUGCUUGCAUUGGUCCUUCCUGGGUGUAUAAGCAUAGUAGCACUUGUGCCUAAAUGGGAGGUGGCGCAACGCUGCUUACCCCCUGUGAACAUAGAUGCACCUUCUUGACCUAGUGCUCCCAAAAUUAAAGUUCCCACUUUCUAUCACCAACUUCUACUAUGUUUCUGUGUGUGAGGAGCUAUGUUCGAGUGGUGCCCUCAACCAUUCACCCAACUAGGGUGAGGAAUCAACAUGUGGUUCAAAUCUUUCAUCAGCAUGUGCUGGUCUAACGCAGUCAAUCCAGAAGUGAUGUAUCUUCUCAAAUUGAAAAUCAAGACAGUCCCCUCAUCUUUCGCUGAAGAGUGGAGGAAGAAGCCUCGAACCAAUGAAACAAAUAUGAAAAUUCUAGCUCUAACUAUGAGAUGGUUCCCCCCAUAAAUCCAUCCUUCUCGAUAUCAAAUUUUACCACGUCACCAAGCCAAUUCCCGAGAGCAUUCCAAAAGUAGACAAUGGUUUAUAUAGGGGAAGAUCCUUAAUUAUCACCCAUGGCUCCGUCAUCCAAAACAUUAUCUUUGACGGCCUAGUUUUACCAUCACAAUUCUUUAAAACCAUCACACUAAAACCAAAUUUCCACGGUCCAUUAUAUAGAGCGUGAUUCUAAACUCCGUUUUGUCGAAUCUCAAGACGAAGAUAUUAUUGCCAAUGGCUUCCUAGUAGAGUCCCCAUGCCUGUUGCAUAGCCUUAGCAAACACGUUGAUGUUGAUUUGCGGAAGUGAGCACGCCUUUCCAACAGCUGACAACUUAGUAGGCCUCGGUCGGUCUAGAAUCCACCUCAAACAUGAGACCUAUUAGUUCCUUUUGUGUCAAGUUCAAGGCUCCUUGUUUGUUUGAGAGAUUCGCUACCUCCUGGAAGCAUUUUUGUCUGUCAGGGACUUUGAAGAUUCUUGGCUUAUCGAUCGUUGGUCACCCGCUUCACUGGAGUUGCAUGUCCAUGCCAUGCCUGCUCUUCCGUCAUCGACCAAUAGAUGAAUAAAACCCUAACCCUAGCACUACCUGUCGGUCCCCUAUAGUCUCCCUUAGCAUUUCCUUUCAUGGUGGGCCCGCCACCAACUAUUCCUCUCCGUCCUUCCAUUGGUACUUUUUCUGCGGUGGAGCCUUUAUGCUUCAUUUGGCUUUCUACAAUGGUGGUUGUAUCCAGCUCAUAAGUCUCCUCUAUAUGUAGGAAGCCAAGAUGUUAGCUCUUCUUUUUUGAAGGAAAAUACGUUAGCUAAUGUACAAGUUUCAUUUGAAAGAAGUCUUGUCGCAUGUAAAUACGUCACUGUCGGUUCAAUAUCCGGCGUAUCUCGUUGUAGGGGUCCUAAGCUAGGCGUCUUGGAGCGAUGGUAACAUGGACACGGGGUUUUACCCAGCUUCGGGCUCUCUUGAUGAGAUAAUACCCUAGAUGCUGCUUUUGAUUGUAUUCAUAUGGGGUGUAGUACAGAGUACAUGUGUCUACCACGAGACUGUGGUAAUGAAUAUGAGAUUGUCUAUUGACUAGCCUGGCCUCGAUUUAUAUAACACACCGGAGGCCUAGCGUUUUAGGAGAGUCCUCGCCUUGGGCGCCAAGUCUUGUGGAGUCUUCCUUAUAUGCGGCAGGGGUUGUCCGAACUGGCCCAUGAGUAUACGGUCGGCCCAAUCCAACUGAUCGGGAGACGACGUGGUGUGUACCCCCUAGUCCAGGACACCGUCAGUCACUAAGAGUGCGAUACAUAUAGGUGCAUCCUUAGCGGAUGAUGCAAAUUUCAGCAGAUAUGAAUAGCUCCAGGUGGACCGAGCACACAAAGAAAUCAUGGACCAUAAACGAAUAAUUUCCAAAGAAACAAAGUCGCAAAAAGAGAGACGACAUUAUCUUCAUUAUGGAAAACCCUUAUAUUUUUAAACAUUGCUUUGCUCUUUGAUUAUUAACAGGAAUCUUUUUACUAAUAUAAUAACUGUUAAUCUUUAUAGAUAUGGAAUGUAUUUUGUUCAGUAGGUUUUAAUGAAUCAUAUCAGUUUUUGGUAUGUUAAAAUUAGAAGAAGUUCAUGCGCCUUCAAGGCAUGUCAUGGUGUGUUGUUCCACCUCAAACAGGGACAUACUACAUGGUUAUUCUCCCUGCAUAUAGCCCUCUUCGCAUGCUCUUCCUCUCUCUCUCUCUCUCUCUCUCUCCAUUGUAUAUUCCAGAACUGCUGACACUACUCCAUAAUGCCUAACUGGUGAAGGUCCAGAAACACCUAGCAGUGAUGGGUUCAACAUGCUCAGUAGUUUGUACUUAGUGGAGAAGUAACAAACCACUUAGAUGAACAUGUCCGCCAGUGAUGGUCAAAUCGAAAAAGAAAAUCGGGCCAUGGCCAGUCCAAAGCUAACACCUGCUAAUAAUGUGUAGUCUCCACUACUCGAACCUUCUUCUCCUCAAUAUAUUGCACCGUCUGAUGUUUGGAGAAGCCAUAGAGUUGGGGAUCCGAAUAGAGGAAACAAUGGUGGGGAGUGUCUUGAAGAAUAGGUAACGAGAAGCCGGACGGAGAAGGCCUCGACCAUGUUGCACCAUCAGCCCAUGAGCACUGACCUGUAUAUAUGGUGCAAGGACCGAGGCAGAAAUGAACACCAUCAUCGCCUGGGUGGCAGAGGGAGUUGGACCUGGGUGUUCCUCCUCUCGGACAAACUCAAUGAAUUCUUGGAGGCAGCACCCAUGCUAGAUUCUGCAGAGAUGACAACAUUUAGAGGAGGUGGAGGGCCAGCGCUAGGUUUGUUCCUCAUAGGGUUUAUUUUCGGGGAAGAAGGGGAAGGGUAUGACAUGAUGAGUGAUUAACAAGGGAAGUGUGUGUUUCUGUGGAGGACAAAUCAUGAAGACAAGUGUGCUAGUAGCUAGAGAAGGGACUAAUGAUAGCAGGAACGAAUAAUGAGCUUAAUGUGUGGGGCUACUAGUUUUAAGUUGUGAUCUAAAUGACAGGGUAAGUAUUUAGUCACUAUCGUGUUGUGACUUGGGCUUGUAAGUGGUGGGUUGUAUAUGAGUAACAAGUAGCAUGUUUAGCCUCAAUAUUGUUCUCUGUCACUGGUAACAAUGUAUCAUUGAUGGACCACAUAUUGGGCCCGUCACUACUAACUUUUUUCAACAAAAAUAGAUUUUUAGUUAUCGUCAGAUUCAUGGCAAACCCGCCGUCCAUUACUUCUAAGUAGCACUACUGAUGGGUUGUGUGACCCACCACUAUUGAUCAAUAACUAGAGGAUAACUCAAGCAUAGUGCACAUCCGUUUCUUUGAGAUUUUGUUAGUGUUUUCUUGUUCAUGGAGACAUAUCAAUUGACCCUAACAAGUGUUCUAUUUAGGUGGGGUUGUGAGUGAAAAUGCGGGGAGCUUGGCAGCAGGGAAAAUGGCACCUAGAGGGGCUCAUGUCUCCAUGAUGAACAACCACAACUUUGAUUUGAAUGAGCUACCGAUUGAACAUGAGCAGCUCCAGCAGGAGCAGCCGCCCAAAGAGCAGGAUUAGCCGCCUGUGGCACAACAUGAGCUUUAAUAUUCACAAAUGGCUGGAGCCUGCUCAAAUCCACAUCUAUGAGUAAAAUAACUCUUCGCCAGAAGCAUAGCCCUAUUGGAAAUUAUCAAAAAUAUCUCUAUCCCGAGGAUAAUGGGAAGGCUUGUAUGGAACUUUUGAAUUUCCCUCUUCCUACUUUUUGCGAUUGACUAUCAUUAUUGCUAAACAUGAGGGGGGGAUUUGGUAUACUGCCUCAUGAUCACCCUAUCCACUUGAAAUGGAUUUUCUAUUCAUUUCCCAUGAUGGUUUUGAUAUCUCGAUUGUUUCAACAAGAAUAUAUUCAUUCGGUAAAGCUUUGUGAAACAUUAGCGAUGGAGCUAGGUCUCGGGUCAUGUGAAAAGACAGUAGGUCAAGAAGUGUGUUAGCUCAUGAGAUAAUAUAUUUUUGAAGUUGUUCAUCAUGUGUGUUGACACAAUGGGUCGUACGAGAGAAGGUUGGCAUGAAUCUUUGGGUUUGAAAUGAGUUGUCUAAUUGGACCUUCAUGACUGAAAAAAGGGAGAAAACAUGGCUAAUAGGAGGCGCAAAUGAUAUGGAAGCUACUUUUUGGAUGGAAGUUAACUAUGGCUAUGCGACCACACAAGAUGUCAGUGGAACCGCGUCCUUACAUAUCGAGGUUGACUUCAUGUGCAAGCUGUAUUGUGACUAAAUUAUGGUAUAUGUAUGCAAUAACUUGGCAUCUUACCAAACACAAAACACCCCAAAAAAUACUAUUUACUUCUCUUCGAUGCAUAUUCUAGUGGAAGGGUAGUCAUAACCAUAUGGGGAUAUUUUUGCACAGUAGAAUCUAUAAUGGUCUAGUGAGGAAAGGUGUAAAUGGAGAGGAUAAUAGGCGAACAUGGAAACAUCCAACAUUGUGUUGUACUUGUAUCUAGUUGUAUAGUGAGAUAAUAUGGAAACGGAGGAGGCUCAUAGGGCAACACGAGAACACCCAACAUGUUGCUCUACUUCCUUCCUAUUGGUACCAAGAGACUGAGACUAGAGAAAGGUUAAUCAUAACACAUGGACAAGAUCUCUUAUACAAGUUGAAAAUGGACCGAAUCUUGUAUGAAAAUGCUAACCAAGUAUGAGUGUGCAUAACAUACCAUUUCCUCCCUUUCUUUGUUGUAUUUUCCUUCACCAACCCCAUAGUACCCUAAUCGACACUAUUAAUUCGAUAUGCUUCUCAUCUGAGUUAGGUAGACUUAUUCAAGGGGAGGAAAUGGAGGUGUCUUAUCUAAAAUAGCCACAUUCCGGAUAGGAAUAAAAAAGUAGACAUAACCUAAUGAUUUGUUGAGAUUUGAAUCGAGAAUUCAACAUACAUCAACUAUCCUACAUGUAAAUCAAAUCCUCAUCCUACAUCGGCAUUGGGCUUUAGUUGGACUACCACUUUAUGGACAAGCCGUAUGGUCCAUGUGGUCUACGUCACAAGGCCGGAGAACAAGGAGCAAAUAGUUGUGGAUGUUUGGUAAUUGAAGUUAUUUGUCAAGAAAUUUGUUUCCCGUCAUGGUUUUUUUAAUUCAUUAUUUAGUAUUUGGUAUCGGUUCUAUGCUCUAAUGUGUAACCUUCUUCUGAUGGUUUGGGUUUAGCUGUCGGUGGUCAUGAGUUCAUUACUUAUGUUAACUACUAUUGUUGUGUCCACUUGUUCGCCAAGAGACUAUAAAGUUAACUUAUAUCCUCCCGUAUCUCUGUUAAUAUAGUUGGCGGUGAGGUAAUCAUUAACCCUGAAUAUUACUCACCUUUGUCAAAUAGUAGGCCAAGCUGGAACUGUCUGGUGCAUCAUCUAUGGUCACAUAUGGUGUAUUGCCUAUUCUAAACUCAAUGAGUAUUACAUAAUGGCAUGUGCUUGCAGGGAGGAAUGAGUCACUCUUUUGUGUCAAGGGGAGACGGCAUGCGUAAUAAUUGACAAUGAAAAAUUAACAACCUACAUCAAAAGUCUAACCCAAGACAAUGAAUAUGUGCCAUUGUAAUUUUACCACACUAAGUCAUCGGUAUUUCAUAAUCGAAUGUUCCCGAUGUCGUGACUUUUGGCGGUGAUAAGCCCAAAUAAUCGCCAUUGUGAAAUUAAAUUCUUCCGUUCACUUGAACCCACAUCCGUAAAGAUGUGCCAUUACAAUCCACGUCAUGGCUAUCUUGGAGUCCUUAAUAUAAUCAAGUGUGCCAAAUAUGGUGACUUGAUAAUCACGUAUACUAAUGGGGAGGAGCGAGGUCACAUUUUUUGCCAUGCAGACAUGAUAUUCCGUACUAAUUGACCCUAGGAAGCUAAUCGCCUCCAUCAAGUAGACCCCUUCCUGGUUCUCCUAUAUCUGGAUUCCCCGAAACCACGAAAAUCCUUAGAAUUGGAUUACAACUUAGCACCUUGUGUUUUCACAUAGUAAGAAGAUUUGCUCCUUGGAGAGCACGGUAUGAUGAAAGUUGUAACCUGUGUUUCCGAGGGAGUUAUUGUCUCGCAACUUUGUUAUCAACUAUUCCGAUUCCAGCAAACGGAGGCCAUUGGGUCAAAGCCAUAGCGCACGCCUUGUAGUUUUGAAGUGGGGCGAGACAACUUUAGCUAGGAACCUAUUUUCCUUCUGACCAACUCCCUAAAAACAAUGUUCGACUUCAUGUGUAGUCGGUGUAGAUGUGUCAUUGCAAUUCCACCACUAGGAUAUCACCAUGUCCUAUGUAUUACAUGCCAACAUAUGCCACCAUAUGGUGACUUGAUAAAUUAAAUGCAUUUCACCAAGCUUUUCUGUUCCAAUUAUGGUGAAGAUAGUGACUCACAUGUCAGCCUCCCUAACGGGAAGCAAAAUCACUCUGACUUUGGCAACCUAAUUUUUUUAUGGAUUCAAGCAAGCAUGUUGGAUUUGUGUAUUGUUUAUUUCCACAUAUAUGAUUCAAAAUAAAGGAAUCAAUUCAGAAUAGGAGUCUUGGAGACACCCAUGUCAAUAAUGUGAAAUUAUGGGAAAUCUUAUUAUGUGCAUCAAAAUAGGCCAAAACUCCUGGCUUAAGAGAUACGUGUACAAUCAUACAAUGGUUAUGACCCCUACUAAAUUCAUGAUGUUAACCAGUUCCCAGAAGUUUAAGUUGAGAAACAAGUUUGGGCAACAUAUUUCCAGACACCUGUCAUGUCUAGGAUUGUCUGAAGCCUAGGUAAGAUUAGUUAUGGGAUCAAUGCAGGCUAUUAGUACAUUGACUCGGUUCUUAACUCAAGUCCUCCUUGCUUGAUACCAUAUUGAAUGGCAAGUACAUCAUCAAUUUACUUAAGUGGGUGAACAAUGUUGGCUAGUAUAUUCCAACACUCACCUCACAUGCAUUUUUUAGGGGCAUAUAAUGCAUCGUGAUGGAUACAUUCUUUCUAAAGACUAAAUUCCAAUGGAAAAUUCAAAUUAAUUUAGUAGCAAUCUCGUAUGGCAAGGGUAUAUGGUAAAUGAAAAGGAGGGCUCAAAUGCUACUUGUUGGCACACACAAGUCAAGUUGUCUUUUAGCUCCCAUGUUGAUCCUCCAUGGUUCGACAUUGGGCAUUACACAGAGAACGAGUUAUCUUUACGCACUAACUAGAGCUACCAGACCAUGGAUGUUCCACCGUGAAUGUCCAUAUGGUGCAAUGAGUGAUAGCGGGGUAUAUUAGAACAUACAGUAUACACCGUUAAAGUAAUUAAAUGUGCUACUUUGCCUACUAUGACAAAAUAGUAUUUUUAAGAGAAAACUACGCAAGAGUUUGUGAUCUUUGUAUGUAAAAGCAUUAUUUGCCUUUGCUUGGUGUUCACGCAGUUUGAUUUAUGGCAAAAAUGGAAAAUCAUGGGACAAUAAUUGUUGAUAUUCUUUGUGGGAAAGCUAGAACUUUUCACUUUUCAGAUCACGCAAAGUAUUGUUUUCUUAUAGGGGUGAUAUACAGGGUUCUAAAUCUGCAUUUGUGAUUUGUUGUCCAUUUAAAUUUGUUUCUUCCAUAGAUUAUGUUGGUUUGUUGCUGUAUUUAUCUCAGCACUGAAGUAUACUGAUGUUAGCUAAGUCCAAUCAAAGGCCGAUGUUUCUAUCAUGUUAUACAAAUUAGUAAGCUAAGUACUGACCAAACUCAAGUUACAGAAGCCCAGACUACGUGAAAUGCACAUCAUGCAGUACACAUGUUCAUCUUAGUGUUAUGUUAUACUUGGCUCCCAGAUAACAAAUGGUGUCAGUUACUACUAUCUUUUGCAGCUUGUUUCUGCCUGUUCAUCGUAGAAUUAUCUUAUGUAGUCUCCCAAGGUUCAUGCAACUUGGAUUUUCAUACAUUGGUAGCAUUAGUGUUCACUGGGACUAGAUGCCACUCUGUAGAAGCUGGGGAUACAGAUGGAGAAAGUAGUCAUGGUUUUUUUUUCAAAAAGUUUGUUCAUAUCUAUAACAGGUUUAUUAAUUUUUAGCGUACAGUGUUGUGAAACCUAGAGUGUUUUAUCUCAUUAAACAUUGAACUACGCUUUCAAGGGAAAAACCUUCAUUUGACAUCGAACUAUGCAUGCAGGGCAAACACUCCGUGCAUCGGUGCCACCGCGCCGCGAACCUUGGGAGCUUGAACCUGGAUGGGUGUGAACUUAUGUUGUCAAGGUUUAGGGUCAGUCUUGGAUAGAGAAUAAAGGGGACUUUGCGAAACUGUUAUUAAUAAUAUGUAUGAAACAUUGCCUUGGGGAGAGAAUAAGAGAUUUCGAGAGAUAUUUACAAAUGGAUGCAUGCUUGCAAUAGCAGUACAAAAUAUGAUGCUAACAUUUUAUUUUCAUUGUUCUUCCCAUUAAACUUCUCGUGGUGGCUCCAUUAUUCACAGCCUCGCACAUGAAAAUGUUAU